CUUAUAGACACUCCCUUGUUUCUGCCAGGUAUAGGCUCAUCCGACAAUUCUGAAAUCACACAAGUCUGUUGUUUUCUGGGCUCAUCCGGUAGUUCUUUGAUGACCACACCAUUGCUUCCAACUUGACUGACACUACAAGAAAUUUAGGCUAACACAACGAAGUGGUCUGCAACGAGUUGACAAUUCGUUGCUUUUGGUUAGAUUAUACAAAGAAUUAUACAAGUCUUUUCUCUAGUUUGAAGGAUAUGCAAGGAAUACAUCAAGUCUUUGCAUUUGGGUAAACCAGUUGAAGAAAAAGUAUAAAGCUGUUGUAUAAACUUUUCAUUUCCUUGCAUUGACUGGGUGGGAUUUUUGGCGCUUAUUUGCUUUUCUUUUUCUUUUGUUUAGAUUUCUCCAUCUUUUAGUUCCCCAUCUCUCCUCUAUGUCGCUCUCACUCUCAAAAACUCAGAUAAAAAAACACACCAAAUUCUAAAGAACCAAAUCUGAAUCGGACUUCCGCCAUCCAUCUUCGACAUCCGUUUCAUCAUCCUACUCUCUCAGCCUCACAUCCAACUUCAUUUCCUUUGAAAUCCAAUCUAGGUCCAAAAUCCCAAAUACCCAAAUCAAAAUCCCUAACACCUCAACCCCAAAUUCCUCCUUCAAUCUCACAUGCCUCUUGACUUCUUACUUAGCAAUCAGUUUCUUGUCGCACUACUUUGCACUCGAUUUCUUGUGGCUAGUUUGGUAGUUUCUUCUUUUUGGUUUACGUUUGCAGUUCAUUUUCGGUAAAUUGGUGUUAAUUUUGGUUAAUUCUUUGGUUUUUAAUUGUGAUUCUGUCCAGAAAUUGAAUGGGUAUCAGACCAGAUUUGUAGGUCGCAGAGGUCUUCGUUUUGGAUUAUAUUUGCAGGUCUUCCCAUUUGUUGCAUUUGUGUUUGGGUCUUAAGAGAACAGUGACUAAGAAAUUAAGGCAGAGGAUAUGGAACCUGACAAGUACAUUUGGUUGACUGGUAUGUGAUUUUCUUUUUGCAUAAAGACUGCUGUAAUUUGGCGCAACUAUUUGUGGUUUCAUGCAAGAUUUGAUGACUGAACCUUUCAAGAAUUAUAGAAAACCCCAAGCCUUUUUAUAUCUGUUCUAGAAUGUAUGGAUUGUUUAAAAAGUGUUGUGUUACUGUUCCAACGUUGUGAUCACUUUUGCGAAGUCUGCAAGUUCAAGGCUUUUAUAUCACACUGAUUCUUCAUGCAAACAUACUGUUGGUAUAGAUACCUCUCAGACACAAGUAUCAGAAGCACAAGGCUCAUUAGCCACUUAAGGCGAUGCCGAUAAUGCCCAAAGAUGAUGCCGAUACCAUACACUUGAGGUAUUGGGUAGACCGCACCAAGUCCCACAUUGGAAAUAAAGGGGUGACAAGCUCAUCCCCACACUAUAAAUACAUGUCUCUCCACUCAUUCAAGGUAAGCCACCACUCUCCAUUUACUCUUACCUAGUCUACAUUCCUACAUGUAUCUGACUUGGGCAUCGAAGGGUCGAAGGCCGGCUAGCCCGGUCUUCCCUCUGACCUCUGUUCAUGGUUGGCAAGUACGGAUAUCGGAGGUGGAAGCUCUCACGACAACCCCGUUUCUACAACAGAAACACAUACAUAGAUUUAUUCAUAUUUGCAUACACCUAGACUCAUGGAAUGAUAGCAUUAGUCUAAUGAGUUAUGUUCUAUUGCCAAACCAUCGCAUCUCUGUUACCUUAUCUUAGUUGAUCUUAGUUCACAGUCUUAACAUGUUUGACUAGUGAAUUUGAUAUGUCAUGUACAUGCAUCAAAUUAGCUGAAAUUUGGUUUCCUUGCAGGGGUCAUUUGGAAAAUGAACAGAAUAUGGAAACUAGGAAUUGUUCCAAGCUAGGCAAAUUACCAAUUGGUUUCUGUACUACUGCUGUUGAAUGUUUUUUCAUAUUUUUUUUUCAGUUGGCUUUGGGCUUAGAGGUACAUUUGUUUCUUCUUUUGUUGGUAAUUUUUUUUACCGUCAAUGACACACUAAGAGUACUUUCAUAAAUGAGUUGUACUGAAAACUUUAAUGAUCACACUCACACUUCAAGUUUACUCAAGGACACACUAGAUAAACAUACAGAUAAAAGUUUGCAUCAUCUAUUAGUACAUUCACUAAACUCUUAGUCCAAAUUGGCUUUGACCUUAUUACCUUCAUUAUCAGCUUUGUAUAUCUUUUCUUGCUUGUCAUUUUCAGCACUCACCCCUUUACAUGAUGGACAAGUUACCUGACCCCAGGUGAUGCUAUAUAUUAUGUGCUUGUUGGAUUAAUUGUAAGGCAAUAUCAGUAAUCUAGUGAUUCAUUCCAAGUGACUAAAUUUCUCAUCCUUACAGGUAACUAGCAAGAGUGGGGCUGCUCCAGCUAGAAGUGUAUUGUGGUUGUAAACUUGUAAAUAGGAAGCUUUGAGAUUAUCUCAAAGUCUUUGACAUAGAUCUUUGUGAACAUUUGAGUUAUUAAUCCUUGUGGAAUUUUCCAUAUGUAAUUAUUACUUUAUUUAUAAAUAAAAGUAUUUCAUUUAUUCAAAAUCUCAUAA